UAGGGAAUCUUCGGCAAUGGACGAAAGUCUGACCGAGCAACGCCGCGUGAGUGAAGAAGGUUUUCGGAUCGUAAAACUCUGUUGUUAGAGAAGAACAAGGACGUUAGUAACUGAACGUCCCCUGACGGUAUCUAACCAGAAAGCCACGGCUAACUACGUGCCAGCAGCCGCGGUAAUACGUAGGUGGCAAGCGUUGUCCGGAUUUAUUGGGCGUAAAGCGAGCGCAGGCGGUUUCUUAAGUCUGAUGUGAAAGCCCCCGGCUCAACCGGGGAGGGUCAUUGGAAACUGGGAGACUUGAGUGCAGAAGAGGAGAGUGGAAUUCCAUGUGUAGCGGUGAAAUGCGUAGAUAUAUGGAGGAACACCAGUGGCGAAGGCGGCUCUCUGGUCUAUAACUGACGCUGAGGCUCGAAAGCGUGGGGAGCAAACAGG
rnacentral:rRNA from 2 species